UACAGAGGUCUCAAGCGUUGUUCGGAUUCAUUGGGCGUAAAGGGUGCGUAGGUGGCGCCAUAAGUCGGGUGUGAAAUUUCGGAGCUUAACUCCGAAACUGCAUUCGAUACUGUGGUGCUUGAGGACUGGAGAGGAGACUGGAAUUUACGGUGUAGCAGUGAAAUGCGUAGAGAUCGUAAGGAAGACCAGUGGCGAAGGCGGGUCUCUGGACAGUUCCUGACACUGAGGCACGAAGGCCAGGGGAGCAAACGGG
rnacentral:rRNA from 1 species